rnacentral:lncRNA from 1 species
GGCUGCGUGGUUGUGUUUGCCAAGGUUCUUCUCGUCAAAAUCUGCACUGGAAGGUCUUCUGAAGUUCCUCAGCUCACUUGUCUCAGCAGUGUCUGUAUCCUUUAGUCCUCAAUUAUCGAUGAAAAAAGGAGGUGCCACAAAGUGGAUAUUACUGUGAAUAAGUCUGAAUUCAGGGUAUAGAAACACACAUGUGUGUGCACACAUACACACACACAGAACCUUGGGGAACUGUUUUUAUUUUGUGGAAAACAUACCUAAUUGCAAUGUUGUUUGCUUUGCCAGGUGCCAUGUCCAAUCAUGCUCAAAGAAAUCUUUCAGCUGCUCCUGGAAAGAGGGCUUGCUUAUAUAGUUGCUCUCUUAUUGCUGCUAGCAAUAAGCCCAAUUUACCUUCUCAGUACAUAUCUCCUUUACCUAUACUUGACAUUUCUUUCAAAGAGACAGCCUGAUCCCUUGUGUAUUUGUGAGCACUGUGUUUGUGUUUAUUUGUGUUUCUGUAUGUGUUUCCUUCACCUACUUUAACUCUUACGAAGAUCAACAACCACUUAAAACAUUCAACCAUUUUUUGGUCUCCAAGUUCCUUCUCUUAGAGAGAACAUUUGGCUGCAGCUGUUUUCUUUCUGCAAAGCUCUAUUAUGCUUAAAGUUCAUAGUUGAAUAAGAAAAUGCAUUUCUAGAAAUAUGUUUUCUGGAUUUUUAUGUAAUAGUAGUACACUCAAGCAUUGUUCUUUUGCUGAAUGCAUGCAAAUCUAUAAUGGAAAAUAUUUCAUCAGUUUAGAUGUUUAUGCUUUCAUAUUAAAGAUUUUUGUUAACCAGACAGAGGAACAAGGCCUAAUAUGGCAACAUGCUCUGUUUAAGUAAUAGUACUUGUCUUGAUUAUAUGGCCUUUAUUAAAAUUCCCAGCUCCGUGAACAUUACACAAAACAUUUUUUGCCAGAUUUCUAGAUGCCUCUGACAUAAAAUAAUCAAGACUCAAGUGUAUGCAUGUAUGUGUGUAUGCAUGUGUAUGUAUAGUGAUUCUAUAUAUAUAUAUAAUAUAUAUAUAUAUAUAAAAUAUAUAAUCCAUCUGAAGACAUGCAUUUGGAAACAUCAAAUCCAAGCUACCAGGCUUAUGUAAAUCCAGAUAAGGAACAACCAAUUUCUCAGAACUUGUUAAAAUAUCUGAACUUAAGUGAACUUCAUAGUUCUUAAAUUUUUUUAUUUUUCCAGUCUUACUGAUAUUUUUAAAAUUUAAUCAUUAUAAACUCCAAUAGCAGAAAAACAAAUAUUAUCUUUUACAAUAAAUAACAGAAGUGAAUCUAUAUAGAUCUAGGGUACUCAUGGGGUUCAUUCUCUUUGGCGCAUUCAUAAAAACCUGAAAUCUGAAAUUGUGUGACUUUGAAGGACACUAUGUCUAUCUAUCUAUCAUCUAUCUAUCUAUCAUCUACCUAUUUCCAAUUGUUUAAAAUUUCUCUUACCCAAUUUAUUAAAAAUUCAUUUUUACUAGUGAGUAGGCACCUAUUAGGGCAGGAAUUAUGUAUUAUCUCUAUUUAUUAUUACACAUCCUGGGCCUAAGUGCAAAGUAAAUAUUUAUUGAAGAAAAGAAGGAGAAAGUAAAGAAGGGAAGAAGAAGGGAAGGAGGUAGGGAAGAAUGGAAAGCAGGGUGGGAAGUAAGGGAAGGAAGAAAUGUAUUAACUAUUUUUGUUGUUGUUGUUCCUUUCCUAGACCUUAUCAGUAUACAAAAUAGAAUGGCUGCUACAGAGUAGGUACCAGAAGUGUCCACUAUGGACAAUAGAAGGCUUUGCAGUUUGGGUACUAUAGGAAGAAAACAUUGAGACAGAGUUGGUUGUACAACUCUUUUUAUUAAGAAGUUACAUCAGCAAAAGAAGGGGAAGAAGAAGGGAUGGUUAGAUGUGACAGAGGCUGUAUCCCCCACAAGGAGCUCUAGAGUAAAUGUUGCCUGUUAGAGGAGUUCUAUUUCAGGUGCACAUGGCUAAGCCCUUGGACCACUGCCUUGUUCAAUCACUGGCUGGCAGCCACUCUAAGAAGACUGGUACCUCGGCUUGAAAUCUGAGGCUGACGAUAAAGAAGCUGAUAGCUGGAGGCUGUUUGAUAACCACGCUCCUUGCAGCUAGCAUUUCUUUUCUUAAACGGGGAUGUGGAAGACACAUCUCUGUAUCUUCUACAUCAGGUUUCCAUGGGAAUCUUUGAAAAGCAACUGACUACAGCUGAAUCUAUAUGUGUUCUAACAAGAUCAGAUUCAAUUAAAGAUCUGAUGCAUCUGCUCCUCGUGGUUUAUGAAAAAAAUCAACAUGAAUUUAUUGAAUAAUUAAUAUGUACAGAUUAUGCAAACUGUGAGAAAUUCAAAAACUGAGGAAGCUCCUGCCUGUGUUUUCGUAUCGCAAUGAGAACUGAAGCUAGGCAUGUAUUCACCAACAUGAGAUGGUAAUAACGAAGCAUGAAGUAUUUAUGCUAUUUGUUCAUCAUUGCAUAACCAUUAAAUGGCAGAGUUGGAAUUCAAAACCAGAUGGCCUACACACAGAAUCCAAGCACCUACUCCUUUCAUAAGUGCCACUUAUUCAUAGUACAGAUAAAUAUGAGUGCAUGAAGCAGCAGAGGCUGCUAAGCAUGCUGAAGAAUGGACCCUUGUUCCUAAAGUCUUCCUCAGGACAGAGACACAAACAGGACCAGGUGACCUCAAUUAUUUGUGAAUGGAGAAUGGGUGUAUGAACUGUCUCUUUAAACUCUCCCAAAGACGACCAGUUAAUAUUACAUUAUUAAAAAUGUAAAGGAAGUUUCAUUCUACUAACAAUACAAGUGCAGUAAAAUACUUUAUAUGUUAUAGUUGCUCCAUAAAUUUUAGGCUCCGUCUGUUGAUCAUUUUUUUACCACCAGAAUAUAGAGAAAACAAUGAAGGAACUUCCACUUUGAGCUUAUCUGAGCCACACAGAGGAAAAAAGUGGUAAACAGAAAUAAUAGGAAAGUUUAGAAAAAAAUUUAUUGUUCUUUCAUAAUUAAAUGUACUAUGUAUUUUUUAAAGAAAUAACCUUAGCUAUUUUGAAUCUAUAUCCCUUUCUUAAGGAUAAUAAAAAACUUUAACAUAUUUGAACUCCUCACUGAAUACCUCACUCCCUGCCUUAUCUAACUGUCUUCAUUUUUUUGGUUAGGAAAUUUAAUACUAUGUUGUUUAUGUAAGACAUGGUUUUCUGAUGACCCCAGUAUUUAAUUACAUUUGACAGUAUUAUUUGCUCACCACAAGUUUUGUUCUGUUUUGUUUUAUUAUUUCUUUAAAAAUCUACUCAUUUCUCUACAUUAUUAUUGCUAAAAUUCAUCCCUUAAAUAUUAUUUUUGUGAUGAUCUGUGAAACAUGAACACUUUUAUUCUUUGUCUAGAAUUGCCUUAAUUCCCCUUGUUCUUUGAUGUUAUUUAGGCUGGGCAUAGAAUUAUAGGUUGCCAGCUUCUGUGCCUCAGCAUCAUUUUCUGAAUAUAUUGUAGUUAAUAAGAAGUGUUUUGCAAACUUAAUUUUCAUAUUUUG